rnacentral:rRNA from 1 species
UAGGGAAUCUUCGGCAAUGGACGGAAGUCUGACCGAGCAACGCCGCGUGAGUGAAGAAGGUUUUCGUAUCGUAAAGCUCUGUUGUUAGAGAAGAACGUUGGUAGGAGUGGAAAAUCUACCAAGUGACGGUAACUAACCAGAAAGGGACGGCUAACUACGUGCCAGCAGCCGCGGUAAUACGUAGGUCCCGAGCGUUGUCCGGAUUUAUUGGGCGUAAAGCGAGCGCGGGCGGUUCUUUUAGUCUGAAGUUAAAGGCAGUGGCUUAACCGUUCUACGCUUUGGAAACGGGAGGACUUGGGUGCAUAAGGGGAGAGUGGAUUUCCAUUUGUAGAGGUGAAAGGCGUAGAUAUAUGGAGGAACACCGGUGGCGAAAGCGGCUCUGUGGUCUGUAACUGACGCUGAGGCUCGAAAGCGGGGGGAGCAAACAGG